rnacentral:rRNA from 1 species
CCCUUAGAUGUUCUGGGCCGCACGCGUGCUACACUGAGUGGAUCAGCGGGUCAGGUUGCGCGAAAGCGUUUCCUAAUCUUUAAAUCCGCUCGUGAUGGGGAUUGACGGUUGCAAUUUUCCGUCAUGAACGAGGAAUACCUUGUAAGCGCGGGUCAUCAUCCCGCGCUGAAUACGUCCCUGCCCUUUGUACACACCGCCCGUCGCUCCCACCGAUUGAGUGGUCCGGUGAGGCUUUGGGAUCUGAGCGGAAAGAGCGUUUCGCUGUUUCUGCUCGGAAAACUCAGUCGAACCUUAUCAUUUAGAGGAAGGAGAAGUCGUAACA